GAUCCUGGCUCAGGAUGAACGCUGGCGGCGUGCCUAAUACAUGCAAGUAGAACGCUGAAGGAAGGAGCUUGCUCUUUCCGGAUGAGUUGCGAACGGGUGAGUAACGCGUAGGUAACCUGCCUGGUAGCGGGGGGAUAACUAUUGGAAACGAUAGCUAAUACCGCAUAACAGUAGAUAUUGCAUGAUAUUUUGCUUGAAAGGGGCAAUUGCUCCCACUACCCAGAUGGACCUGCGUUG
rnacentral:rRNA from 1 species